UACGUAGGGUGCAAGCGUUGUUCGGAAUCAUUGGGCGUAAAGAGCGUGUAGGUGGUUAGGUAAGUUGGAUGUGAAAUCCCCCGGCCCAACCGGGGAAGUGCAUUCAAAACUGCUUGGCUUGAGGGUGGCAGAGGGAGGUGGAAUUCCUAGUGUAGAGGUGAAAUUCGUAGAUAUUAGGAGGAAUACCGGUGGCGAAGGCGGCCUCCUGGACCAUUCCUGACACUGAGACGCGAAAGCGUGGGGAGCAAACAGG
rnacentral:misc_RNA from 1 species